GGUUUGUUGUUUGUUCAUUUAUUUAUUUAUUUAUUUUGGCCUUCAUGGUAAUUGAGCUUCCAGUGGGGAAGAAGAAGAGAGAAGACUGAAGAGGUGGACCAGUGGCACAUUUCAUCAUGAAGAUUUAUCUGGAGGUUAGGGAGUAACAUUUAUGAUCUUCCUGAAGAACAGAGAAGGUUUAGGACUACUACUUAAAAGAGAAGAUGUGAUGCAACAGAGAAAGUAGAACUAGAUGCAAAAGACUGACUCAGGCUAUGAAUCAGUUACCUAAGUUCCAGGAAAGGGAUAUGUCUUCUAAGAAAAAGGAUCACACUGACCUUCACUUUCAGCAAGUUGCCUCUAAGCAUGAAGUGACCCUAAGAUAUAGGAAGAUAAGAAGGUAAUGGGUCAGGCUGAGACCAAGCAUCCAAAUGAGAAGUGAAGCCGGAUGGGCUUCUGGGUGGGGUGGGGACUUGGACAACUUUUCUAUCUAGCUAAAGGAUUGUAAAUGCACCAAUCAGCACUCUGUGUCUAGCUAAAUGUUUGUAAAUGCACCAAUCAUCACUCUGUCAAAAUGUGCCAAUCAGCACUCUGUAAAACGGACCAAUCAGCACUCUAUAAAAUGGACGAAUCAGCAAGAUGUGGGUGGGGCUAAAUAAGGGAAUAAAAGCAGGCCACCCUAGGCAGCA